AUAUAAAAUACUACAAUCUGCUUCGAUAAAACAGUAUUACACGCACACAACAUAUUUUUACAACUACCAGUAACAAUAUACAAUAUUCCAAUCACAUUGAUACAUUGAUGUCCACAACUCAUAAUAACAUACAAAGUCAUCAGUAUCAUUACACAAACUUUCUUUUUCGCUCCACCAUGCUUUUCUCCCCAUUCAUACAACACCACCACUACACUCCUACCUCCCCCACCACUACACUCAAGUCUUCACCAAUGAAUUAUUAGUAUCAACCCCAGCCAACAAACUCCCUACUUCAUUCACUGUCCGUCAAGUUUCAAGGGGAGUAAAGUACUCUUCUUCUUGCCAAACUUCAAGGAGGUAAGCCUUCUUUGAAUUCUCUUUAAUGCACUCAGGAUUCCAC
rnacentral:lncRNA from 1 species